rnacentral:rRNA from 1 species
UACAGAGGUGGCAAGCGUUGUUCGGAAUUACUGGGCGUAAAGGGCGCGUAGGCGGCCAGCACAAGUCAGUUGUGAAAUCUCCGGGCUUAACUCGGAAAGGUCAACUGAUACUGUGCGACUAGAGUGCGGAAGGGGCAACUGGAAUUCUCGGUGUAGCGGUGAAAUGCGUAGAUAUCGAGAGGAACACCUGCGGCGAAGGCGGGUUGCUGGGCCGAACACUGACGUGAUGCGCGAAAGCCAGGGGAGCGAACGGG